UACGAAGGGGGCUAGCGUUGUUCGGAAUUACUGGGCGUAAAGCGCGCGCAGGCGGUCUUCCAAGUCAGUGGUGAAAGCCCGGAGCUCAACUCCGGGUCGGCCGUCGAUACUUCCGGGCUUGAGCACUGUAGAGGCAGAUGGAAUUCCGGGUGUAGCGGUGGAAUGCGUAGAGAUCCGGAAGAACACCGGUGGCGAAGGCGGUCUGCUGGGCAGUUGCUGACGCUGAUGCGCGACAGCGUGGGGAGCAAACAGG
rnacentral:rRNA from 1 species